GGGGCUGUGGGAGGGGAUGGUGAAGCGGAUUAUUGCAGGCUGUAGGUGGGGAUUUGUGGCGCUGAGGAGAGGUGCGGACCGGGCCGUGGGUGCCGAUGGCUCGAACAAUCCCCCUGGUGCUCUGCCAGGUGCAGAAGGGCGCACACCUGAGGCUUGCGGACAGCUGCAACAUCUCAAAAGGUGUAAAGAGUCCCCAGGUGUCCCGUGAUCCACAUUAUUAUCCAGUGUGAAACUCCCCGCCCCAGGGAGAUGUUCCCACCUGGCCUCAGCAGAUUAUAAACCCCAUGGAUAUGAUGUGUGUUGGACUCCUUCCCUUCACCACUCGAUGUGUGUAGUCUGCAGUCACUUUCUCUCCACCCUAUAAUCUUUUCCCUCUCUCUCCCCACCCUCAUGUUUGCUGUUAAAUAAAAAUCCAUGCUAUUGGCAUUCA